rnacentral:lncRNA from 1 species
CGCCGCAGAGCAAUUCGAUCCAUCAACGCAAACCACGAGAGUGAGCCCCAAGACAGUGGACGACGCAAUCAGCUCUCUACUCAAAUGGAAAACCGAGAAAUCAAAAACAGAGAAGCCUCAGCUCCUCGAGCAAGACGAGUUCGUCUACCUAACCGUCACUUUGAAGAAGAUCCCGCAAACAAGCCGCACGAACGCUCACCGAAUCCGAUUACCUCACCCGCUUAUCAACACGGAGGAAGAGUCCCCCGAGCUUUGCCUCAUCAUCGACGACAGACCUAAAAGCGGCCUCUCCAAAGAAGACGCGGUUAAAAAGAUCGAAUCGGAGAAUAUUCCGAUUACCAAAGUGCUCAAGCUCUCGAAGCUCAAGACGGACUACAAGGCCUUCGAAGCGAAGAGGAAGCUUUUCGACUCGUACGAUAUGUUCUUCGCGGAUCGGAGAGUGAUUCCUAUGCUUCCGAGGCUGAUCGGGAAGAAGUUCUUUGUUCAGAAGAAGAUUCCUUUGCCGGUGGAUCUGAAGCAUAAGAACUGGAAGCAGCAGAUUGAGAAGGGAUGCGGCUCCGCUAUGUUUUUCGUUAGCACGGGGACGUGUAGUGUUGUGAAAGUUGGGAAGUUGUCGAUGGAUAGCGACGAGGUUGUUGAGAAUGUGAUGGCGACGCUAAACGGCGUCGUUGAGGUGUUGCCUAGUCAGUGGAAGUACGUUCGGUCUUUGCAUUUGAAGCUGUCGGAGAGCGUUUCGUUGCCGAUUUAUCAGUGUGUGCCCGAUUUGAAGCUGAAGAUUGAUGAUUUUGAGGAGGAGAGUGGUGUUACGGAAGAGGAGAAGAAGAAGAAAGGGAAGAGUGAUGGUGUGAAGGGGAAAAAGAAGAAGGGUAGGAUUCAUGAGGUUAGAUGUAUGGAUAGUAAUGUAUCUGAGGUGCUUGAUGAAGAUGAGGUUAGUAUUGAGUCUGGUGGUGUUAAGGAGAAGAAUAAGAGAAAGAAGGAGGGAAGUGUGGUUGAUGAUGAUGCUGAGAAACCGAAGAAGAAAGUUGCCAAGAGUAAGCUGAAAGAGAAGAGAAAUAGUGGGUUAAAGCCGGAGAAGAAGACAAUGGUUACAAAAGGUUUGAAACAAAAGAGGAAGAAGACUGUGCUUAGAAGUUAAGGCAAUGGAACAUCAGAGGAUUAGAUCUUUAAGGUUUUUGCAUCUUUUUCAAUUAAGUAAUUGUAUGUUUUAUCGUAAUGCUGAUGAUAUUUUAGGUUCUCUUAUAUCGUCUACUGCUUCUCGUGUUGUUUGGUGGAGGAAACAUACUUAUGUUACCAGUUUUGAUUUUUUCUUAUUUAACUUAUUUUGUCAGAGCAUCUCCUAGGUAAACUCUAUAUUUUCUUUUAAAAUAGAGAUUUUGUGAAAAUGCUCUAAAGUAUGCCUCUAUAAUAGAGUUUUUCUAUUUUAGAAGAAAAUAUAGAGGAAAGUUACUUUUGUAGAAAUAUCAUAUCUCUAUAUUUUCUCUUAUAAAUAGAGAAACUCUAUUAUAGAGUAUACAUUGGAGCAUUUUCACCUCUAUAAUAGAGUUUUUCUAUUUUAGAGGAAAAUAUAGAGAUAGAAAAUAUAGAAAUAGAAAUAGGGGUGGGUUGGAGAUGGUCUUAUAAACAACUAGUGUUUAUCUUUGGAUUAUAGCAAUCAAUCAAGUGACAAUGAUUUACCAACAUAGUAACAAAAUCUUCAUCUUUUUAUAAUCUUCAUCUUUUUAUAUAUAAAAUUGGUUCUUAGAAGGUUAACCUUUAGCCAUAAGAUGAUCUAUAGCUCUAUGAGUUUGCUAUGAUAUGACAGACAUGAAUAACCAAAGGCCAAUGAUCGACGAAAUAAUCAAUGAAAAAUACAAUGUUUUUGAGCAAUUGUGUUUAUGGAAGACAAAAAUUUAUCAUAUAAAACUAUAGCAGAGUAAUCGAAAAGAUGUGUGUAAUAGUAAAACAUUAUAAUACAGUGAAGUAGGCUGAAGCUCACAAGUAUGUAAGAACCUUCUUGAUCACAAAGCAGCAAGCCUUCCGACGGUGUACCAAUUUUAUUCUCCUGAUGGUAAGCUCCUUCCUCUUUUCUGCUCUUGUCUAGUUUGCUUAAGAUCUUUUUACAAUCUCAUUUUCUAAUCACAGGGCCUCUGUACGGAACUCUCCAUAUCACAAAGUUAUCUGGGGGUUGAUACUCUUCAAGCCAUGUCACAUUUGAGAUCACUUCUCCGUUCAUCACUUCAAUCUCACCUGGUUUCACAGACCAUCAUCAUCAUCACCGCCGCAGAGCAAUUCGAUCCAUCAACGCAAACCACGAGAGUGAGCCCCAAGACAGUGGACGACGCAAUCAGCUCUCUACUCAAAUGGAAAACCGAGAAAUCAAAAACAGAGAAGCCUCAGCUCCUCGAGCAAGACGAGUUCGUCUACCUAACCGUCACUUUGAAGAAGAUCCCGCAAACAAGCCGCACGAACGCUCACCGAAUCCGAUUACCUCACCCGCUUAUCAACACGGAGGAAGAGUCCCCCGAGCUUUGCCUCAUCAUCGACGACAGACCUAAAAGCGGCCUCUCCAAAGAAGACGCGGUUAAAAAGAUCGAAUCGGAGAAUAUUCCGAUUACCAAAGUGCUCAAGCUCUCGAAGCUCAAGACGGACUACAAGGCCUUCGAAGCGAAGAGGAAGCUUUUCGACUCGUACGAUAUGUUC